rnacentral:pre_miRNA from 1 species
UUCAGUUUGAUUCUUCGUCUUAUUUGAUUUUUUUACAAUUAAUAUUUUUAUUAUUAUUGGAUAAUAAAAUAUGAAUAUUACUUUGCAUGUGACUAUUUUUUUAAGUUUUUCUACAAAAUUUUCAAAUAAGACGAAUGGUCUAACGUUGGACAAAAAAAUC